AGCCUCGUGGUGGCAAAACACAUUAGAUUGCAAAUCUAAAGACGCAGAGUAGUAUCUGCCGGGGCUU
rnacentral:tRNA from 1 species